GACGAACGCUGGCGGCGUGCUUAACACAUGCAAGUCGUACGGUAAGGCCCUUUCGGGGGUACACGAGUGGCGAACGGGUGAGUAACACGUGAGUAACCUGCCCACAACUUUGGGAUAACGCUAGGAAACUGGUGCUAAUACUGGAUAUGUGCUCCUGCUGCAUGGUGGGGGUUGGAAAGCUCCGGCGGUUGUGGAUGGACUCGCGGCCUAUCAGCUUGUUGGUGGGGUAGUGGCCUACCAAGGCGGCGACGGGUAGCCGGCCUGAGAGGGUGACCGGCCACAUUGGGACUGAGAUACGGCCCAGACUCCUACGGGAGGCAGCAGUGGGGAAUAUUGCACAAUGGGCGCAAGCCUGAUGCAGCAACACCGCGUGCGGGAUGACGGCCUUCGGGUUGUAAACCGCUUUCAGCAGGGACGAAGCUUUUUGUGACGGUACCUGCAGAAGAAGCACCGGCUAACUACGU
rnacentral:rRNA from 1 species